CUACGUGCCAGCAGCCGCGGUAAUACGGAAGGUCCAGGCGUUAUCCGGAUUUAUUGGGUUUAAAGGGAGCGUAGGCUGGAUAUUAAGUGUGUUGUGAAAUGUAGACGCUCAACGUCUGACUUGCAGCGCAUACUGGUUUCCUUGAGUACGCACAACGUUGGCGGAAUUCGUCGUGUAGCGGUGAAAUGCUUAGAUAUGACGAAGAACUCCGAUUGCGAAGGCAGCUGACGGGAGCGCAACUGACGCUUAAGCUCGAAGGUGCGGGUAUCAAACAGGAUUAGAUACCCUGGUAGUCCGCACAGUAAACGAUGGAUGCCCGCUGUUGGUACCUGGUAUCAGCGGCUAAGCGAAAGCAUUAAGCAUCCCACCUGGGGAGUACGCCGGCAACGGUGAAACUCAAAGGAAUUGACGGGGGCCCGCACAAGCGGAGGAACAUGUGGUUUAAUUCGAUGAUACGCGAGGAACCUUACCCGGGCUUGAA
rnacentral:rRNA from 1 species